rnacentral:rRNA from 1 species
UGGGGAAUAUUGGACAAUGGGCGAAAGCCUGAUCCAGCCAUGCCGCGUGUGUGAAGAAGGUCUUCGGAUUGUAAAGCACUUUAAGUUGGGAGGAAGGGCAGUAAAUUAAUACUUUGCUGUUUUGACGUUACCGACAGAAUAAGCACCGGCUAACUCUGUGCCAGCAGCCGCGGUAAUACAGAGGGUGCAAGCGUUAAUCGGAAUUACUGGGCGUAAAGCGCGCGUAGGUGGUUUGUUAAGUUGGAUGUGAAAUCCCCGGGCUCAACCUGGGAACUGCAUCCAAAACUGGCAAGCUAGAGUAUGGUAGAGGGUGGUGGAAUUUCCUGUGUAGCGGUGAAAUGCGUAGAUAUAGGAAGGAACACCAGUGGCGAAGGCGACCACCUGGACUGAUACUGACACUGAGGUGCGAAAGCGUGGGGAGCAAACAGGAUUAGAUACCCUUGUAGUCCCUGAGCGGGCUGGCAAGGCGCAU